rnacentral:rRNA from 1 species
AUACGGAGGAUCCGAGCGUUAUCCGGAUUUAUUGGGUUUAAAGGGUGCGUAGGUGGUUUGAUAAGUCAGCGGUGAAAGUUUGCAGCUUAACUGUAAAAAUGCCGUUGAAACUGUCGGACUUGAGUGUAAAUGAGGUAGGCGGAAUGCGUGGUGUAGCGGUGAAAUGCAUAGAUAUCACGCAGAACUCCGAUUGCGAAGGCAGCUUACUAAGCUACAACUGACACUGAAGCACGAAAGCGUGGGGAUCAAACAGGAUUAGAUACCCUGGUAGUCCACGCAGUAAACGAUGAUUACUAGCUGUUUGCGAUACACAGUAAGCGGCACAGCGAAAGCGUUAAGUAAUCCACCUGGGGAGUACGCCGGCAACGGUGAAACUCAAAGGAAUUGACGGGG